GACAGAUCGUUGUAGAGUUACUUAUGGUUGUAUCCAUUGUACUGGAAAGAAACCCCGAGCUAGAAUUUCAAGACAAAGUAGAUCUAGACAGACUGGUCAAAGAAGCAUUUAAUGAAUUUCAAAAAGAUCAGAGUCGGCUAAAGGAAAUUGAAAAACAACUGACACAGAUUUUACCUGUCAACUCUUUACAAACAGAAGAUCGAAUGCCUUGCCUACUGUUUUCCUUUGUAGGAUGACAUGACUUCCUUUUACAACACUCCUCCCCUGGGAAAAAGAGGAACAUGCAGCUAUUUGACAAAGGCGGUGAUGAAUCUGCUGCUGGAAGGAGAAGUCAAGCCAAACAAUGAUGACCCGUGUCUGAUUAGCUAGUGGGGAAGGUGUAGGAAGCUCUGUUGAGACACAUGUUCUGAAGUGUGUUGUGUUUCAUGUUCAAGCUUAAUCAAGGCAGCCAUUAAUAUACGAACUGAGCAUGCUGGGGAGGUGAAUGCCACAUCCUUGGCGGGGUUAUGGACCUCUUGCAUGUCAUAGCCAAUCUAACGGUAAUGGUAAAUGCUUUUAAUCAAGCAGGAAAAAGUUCUCAUGAUUAUGCCAACUAUAAUAGUAAUCCUCACUGAGUGAUAAAAAUAGUUUAUGAAUUGAAAAUUUGCCGCUGCAUGUUGUAUGAUCAAAUAGUUCAUCAAAAUGAAUCUUUGCUCUU
rnacentral:lncRNA from 1 species